UUCUGCAGGCUUCCAAGAUGGCUGUCUGGUAGCAUUGAUACUUGCUUUAUGCCGAAAUCCUGUAGGCUCAGGCUGCUCAUUGAGCUGUUUGCUUAGGAGAGAGAAGUGUUUUGAAACUGUGGCUUUUGAGAGGAAGAAUCAAGGCAUUUUGAGAAAGGUGCACGUAUGCUAAUGAUGAAUUUAACAGUGUAUGGGAACUUCUGAAUCAUGGCCUGAACCUGUGACCAUCAGAGGAGAGCGAGGAGACAGCCCUGG